rnacentral:Y_RNA from 1 species
GGCUGGUUCCGAACAUAGUGAGUUCUCUCAGCUGAUUGUUUACGGCCAAUUGCAAAUGGAAAUGCUUGUUCUAUUUCUUUCCCUCUUCUUACUACUGCACUUGACUAGCCUAAA